AGUGAACGCUGGCGGUAGGCCUAACACAUGCAAGUCGAACGGCAGCACAGUAAAAGCUUGCUCUUACGGGUGGCGAGUUGCGGACGGGUGAGGAAUACAUCGGAAUCUACUUUUUCGUGGGGGAUAACGUAGGUAAACUUACGCUAAUACCGCAUACGACCUCCGGGUGAAAGCAGGGGAUCUUCGGACCUUGCGCGAUUGAAUGAGCCGAUGUCGGAUUAGCUAGUUGGCGGGGUAAAGGCCCACCAAGGCGACGAUCCGUAGCUGGUCUGAGAGGAUGAUCAGCCACACUGGAACUGAGACACGGUCCAGACUCCUACGGGAGGCAGCAGUGGGGAAUAUUGGACAAUGGGCGCAAGCCUGAUCCAGCCAUACCGCGUGGGUGAAGAAGGCCUUCGGUUUGUAAAGCCCUUUUGUUGGGAAAGAAAAGCAGCAGGUUAAUACCCCGCUGUUCUGACGGUACCCAAAGAAUAAGCACCGGCUAACUUCGUG
rnacentral:rRNA from 1 species